AAUAAAAACGUUGCCUAUGCUCACCUAACCCCCCUCCUCUUUAAUGGAUCAGUCCACUUUUGUAAACACCUCACGCAUUCGCACAUUCCAACAGGGCUGACAUGCUUAAAACAAUAUACCUGGAUCCACAAGAGCAUCAUUGAUUGAAGACUGGUAUGCAUAAACAAGCAGCAUAGUGUUUGCCUAUGUUUUUCAGAUGUCAUGAAUCCUGAUACAUCGUUUCUCGACAUGAAGAGUGGAGGGCGGAAACAAUCAUGGUCGUUGCUGGAUGACCAGAGACAAAUGACUGAGAGCAGGUGGGAGAGACUAGUGUUCCCUGAGGAGUUGUGAUGACCAGACCCGCUUCAUAGAAAAGAGACCAAAAAAAAGAAGAAGAGAUUACUAUCCAUCCCAAAAGGUGAUCACAGAAGAUUCACAGGCUUCUCCGACUCACCUGCCGUCAUGAUGCCUGUGGAGGGGACGGACAGCAUGUUCUGGGUGCUGUGGGCAGGGUGGAGGUGUGCCACGCUGCCCACCUGCCCGCCGCCA